rnacentral:rRNA from 1 species
AUACUGUGGGUGGCGAGUGGCGGACGGGUGAGUAAUGCAUCGGGACCUGCCCAGACGUGGGGGAUAACGUAGGGAAACUUACGCUAAUACCGCAUACGUCCUACGGGAGAAAGCGGGGGAUCGAAAGACCUCGCGCGGUUGGAUGGACCGAUGUUCGAUUAGCUAGUUGGUGAGGUAAUGGCUCACCAAGGCGACGAUCGAUAGCUGGUCUGAGAGGAUGAUCAGCCACACUGGGACUGAGACACGGCCCAGACUCCUACGGGAGGCAGCAGUGGGGAAUAUUGGACAAUGGGCGAAAGCCUGAUCCAGCAAUGCCGCGUGUGUGAAGAAGGCCUUCGGGUUGUAAAGCACUUUUAUCAGGAGCGAAAUACUGCCGGCUAAUACCCGGCGGGGCUGACGGUACCUGAGGAAUAAGCACCGGCUAACUUCGUGCCAGCAGCCGCGGUAAUACGAAGGGUGCAAGCGUUAAUCGGAAUUACUGGGCGUAAAGCGUGCGUAGGCGGUUCUUUAAGUCUGCUGUGAAAUCCCCGGGCUCAACCUGGGAAUGGCAGUGGAUACUGGAGAGCUAGAGUGUGAUAGAGGAUGGUGGAAUUCCCGGUGUAGCGGUGAAAUGCGUAGAGAUCGGGAGGAACAUCAGUGGCGAAGGCGGCCAUCUGGAUCAACACUGACGCUGAGGCACGAAAGCGUGGGGAGCAAACAGGAUUAGAUACCCUGGUAGUCCACGCCCUAAACGAUGCGAACUGGAUGUUGGUCUCAACUCGGAGAUCAGUGUCGAAGCUAACGCGUUAAGUUCGCCGCCUGGGGAGUACGGUCGCAAGACUGAAACUCAAAGGAAUUGACGGGGGCCCGCACAAGCGGUGGGAGUAUGUGGUUUAAUUUCGAUGCAACGCGAAGAACCUUUACCUGGCCUUGACAUGUCUGGAAUCCUGCAGAGAUGCGGAGUGCCUUCGGGGAUCAGAACACAGGUGCUGCAUGGCUGUCGUCAGCUUCGUGUCGUGA